rnacentral:tRNA from 1 species
GGGCAGGUGGUGGAAUCGGCAGACACGUACGUUUGAGGGGCGUAUGCCGCAAGGCGUGGGGGUUCAAAUCCCCCCCUGCCCACCA